GGCUGUUCUCGGGUGACACACUACGGAAUUGGGCUCCCUCCUCUCUGGUUCUAGUUGCAUCACCUGAGAACCACA
rfam:Myotis brandtii contig310067, whole genome shotgun sequence.